AAGGCGAAAAGAACCCCUGUGAGGGGAGUGAAAUAGAACCUGAAACCGUGUACGUACAAGCAGUAGGAGCCCACCACCAAAUACCUUUGUUGGGGUUCUUUAACAUCGACCUGCUUUAGCAGCCGAUGAAAAAAGACAUCUCGAAGAAAUAGAACCUAGGUGGUUCAAAUAGCAGAGCUAUUUGGGGUGGGUGACUGCGUACCUUUUGUAUAAUGGGUCAGCGACUUAUAUUCUGUAGCGAGGUUAACCAUUUAGGGG
rnacentral:rRNA from 1 species